AUUGAACGCUGGCGGCAGGCCUAACACAUGCAAGUCGAACGGUAACAGGAAGAAGCUUGCUUCUUUGCUGACGAGUGGCGGACGGGUGAGUAAUGUCUGGGAAACUGCCUGAUGGAGGGGGAUAACUACUGGAAACGGUAGCUAAUACCGCAUAACGUCGCAAGACCAAAGAGGGGGACCUUCGGGCCUCUUGCCAUCGGAUGUGCCCAGAUGGGAUUAGCUAGUAGGUGGGGUAACGGCUCACCUAGGCGACGAUCCCUAGCUGGUCUGAGAGGAUGACCAGCCACACUGGAACUGAGACACGGUCCAGACUCCUACGGGAGGCAGCAGUGGGGAAUAUUGCACAAUGGGCGCAAGCCUGAUGCAGCCAUGCCGCGUGUAUGAAGAAGGCCUUCGGGUUGUAAAGUACUUUCAGCGGGGAGGAAGGGAGUAAAGUUAAUACCUUUACUCAUUGACGUUAUCCGCAGAAGAAGCACCGGCUAACUCCGUG
rnacentral:rRNA from 1 species